CUUUGCAUUUGACCCAAAUGUUUUGGUCAUUUUAUAUUUGCCAAUAUAAAUCUUUUUGGCAUAGAAAUUAUACAUUUGGAAUAAUAAUUUUGUAUGCUGCAUUCAAUCUAUUCUCCAUUCAGGGAGAUUCUUUUGUAAAUACCCACACCAAUCAGAAGUCUGUAUUUUUAUGCUAAAACAGAAAUUGGCAUCCCAGAGAGUAAAUUAUAUUCAAGUUUAGGGCAUGUUGCAGCUCUAUAUCUUGCCGUUGCAAGUUGCUUUGCGUUUGAUGUUUGUUCUGGGAUAAAAUAUUGAAUUAUACCUUAAAUUAAUGUUUUGUGAAAUUUAGUUUAAAUAAUUUAAUAGAGAGAUGAGUGCAUAAAGCAUAGGGAUUUUGAAGCUAAAUAUGUUAUAAAAUUUGUCAUUUUAGUGAAUGCAUUCGUUUCUGCUCGUCCUGGUUGUUGCAAGGAGACAUCAGGCAUUGUAAUGGAUGGAUGACAAUGUGUCGCUGGCAAACCUACACCGUGUGCAUUUUCUUGGUGGAUAUCUUGGGCAAAUGUGCAAUAUGACGAGGGAUAUCUUGGGCAAAUAUCUUAUAUAAAUUGGUACGAUUGCUUACCUUAAAUUACUAAAGAAGGAUGAUGUUGUAAGGUUAGUGGAUAUUUAUAAUAGUGAUAAAAUGGGGGUUCCCUAUGAAUAGGAACAAAGUAAGGCUGCCUAAUUAAGUGGAAACAAUAUUGCGCAGUGUAACAAUCUAAAAAUAUGGCGGACUGAAAUCUGUAAAAAUGAUGCAUGUUUAAUUUAAAACAUGCAAAAAUUGCGGCAUAAAUAUAUCACGAAACAUGCUUCUUACAACUACAUGCUAUGUUUAUAGGAAUUUGAAUAAGUUUUUAGUAGGCAUGAUUUAGGAUUUUUGUUUUAUUUUCAUUUAUGAUUUUCUAUAAAUGCCCCAACUAGUUUAUAUCUAAUACGUAAUGUAUAAUAUAUAGAUUGUAAAUUUUUUGAUCUAGAAAAUAAUAGAGUUCUUAUACAACUACAUGCUGUGUUGGGUUGUUAGGGUUGAAUAAGUUUUUAGUAGGCAUGAUUUAGGAUUGUUUUUAUUUAUGAUUUUCUAUAGACUGUCCCCCCCCCCCCUCGUGGUGGAAGGAUAACAGCCUGUGGCCAUUUGUCACUAAUGCUGCACAGUGACGUAGUCGUAUAAAUAGAUAUUUAACAGUCUGUGGCCAUUUGUCACUAAUGCUGCACAGUGAUGUAGUCGUAUAAAUAGAUAUAAUAUUGUGCACUUCAGUGGCUUUCUAAUUUUAUUAUCCAAUCAGGUGUGUUACUUUAAAUAGAACUUAUUGUAUGUAAACAAGGUCAAUAGACAACGUUUGGGACAACAUUGCUUUCUUUAACAUAUAGCAUAAUUUGUCUUCGUCAUUCUGUGCACAAUGAAGUACUGGGUCAUUCCAGAAAACAUCCAUACCCCCCCCCACGGAGGAAAUAGGAAGUUAACCCCCUACCCCCUUUGGAUGCCCUAAUACAUUAAGCAAUUAUUGGAUGAGGCUGAGCAUGAUAUCAAGAAUUAUUCAGACCGAGGUCAAUGUUAUCUGCCGAAGCGAAGCUGAGGCGGAUAACAUAGACCGAGGUCUGAAUAAUUCUUGAUAUCAUGCGAAAACCGAAUCCAAUAAUUGUUUUAUACAUUGAAAGACAUGAGAAACGUAUAAAACGAUUCCUGUUCAUGAGGUAGGAAAAGUACAAUUUGAAUAUCAAACACAUUGCACAAAGUCAAAAGUCAGUUAAAUAUUCUAUUUCUACUUCUAUUUACCCCUUUGUGGCUUUUUUCGUGCUUUCACUAUCCUUAUCUGCCAAUAAUUUAGAGAUUUCCUCUGUGGGGGGGAGUAUGGAUCUAUUCUGGAACGACCCAUUCAAGGCAAAGAAAAUAUGCAAGCAUUAAAUAUUUCCUGCAUUAUUUCUCAAUCCUUGCUCAAUGACAAAAACAUACUUAAAUUAAAUUUGUAAUAUAGGAAAAAUAGAUUUUCUGUAAUAUAUAUUUAUCUGAAACAACCUCAUGCUAUGUUGAUAGGAAUUUGAAGUUUUUAGUAGGCAUGAUUUAGGAUUUUUGUUUCUAUUCAUGAUUUUCUAUAAAUGGGUGCCCACCUAAUUUUUGAGAUAUGAUAUGAAUUUAUGAUAUCUUUAUCACAUAAAAGAGUGGCAGUGUCAUCAGAAUAGUAUAAAAACCAAUUACUGUGGGCUCAAUUUUACAAAUACUGUAUAAAUAUACAAUAACAUAACUUAAUUUAUGAGAAUAAAUACAACUAUCAGGAACAACAAGAGAGUGGAGUAGCAAGACUACAAGCAGUGUUACAUUUCAAACAGAUUCUUAGUUUAUAUUGAUAGCAGUAAUGUACCAUCUGUAUAACAUACAGUUGUAAAAUUUGUAACGUCUCUCUGGAGCAGGGGGUGAGCGGAGGUGAGACACUGGGAACGAGGAUGGGCUCAUAUUCGUUCUUAAGAGUUUUUUGUAGGGCAUAUAGACGGGGGGACUCAUAUAUGGGGGGGGGGGUAUUCAAAUGUUACAUAUCAAAAUCUAAGUUAGUCCUUUAUGAAUGCAAUAAAACAUUCAAGUAUAGUAGCUUUUGUAGUUUUUGUUACAUUUAAUCAAACAGCACAAGUUGUUUUUUUUUUUUUGGGGGGGGGGCACAGUCUUUCUUUAGGUUGUAAAGCGAUGAUUGGGCUAAGAAAAUUUCAAUACGUCAUUGCUGUUGAAAUGACUUAAUUCAUCACUAAUAAUAUGAAAGCUUAUGUUGCUCAUAAUAUCCCAUCCAGCGUCUAUUUUUGAGAAAAUUGUUGCACAAACCAUGUUCCAAUGUUUGCGAUGUGACCAUUGCAUAUGGCUGUCAAAAACGUCCAGAUUAGUUAGAUUAUUGUUUUCUAAAACAUUGCGCGGCUCGUGAUUUUAGAACUCUUUUUAUGCUUUAACCCAUUGAGUGGCUCCACUUGACAAGUAAAAUCCUGUGGCGUUAGACAGUAAAAUACUAAAGUAGGGUGCAUCUGGGUGCAAUGCAACUUAAAGGGUUAAAUUAACCAAAAAAAGUUGAGAGAAAUACUCAUUACAGUGACACGAUUCCGGUAUAGACAGGCUUUGUCGAUGUCAAAUGUCCAAGUAUAUACGAAACCAGUAGUUUACAGGUUGUUUACAAACGCUAGGUUAUAUUAGUUUUUAUCUGUACUUCCGCUUAAAAAGGUACAUCAGCGACGUGCAUAUAAACCCAAAUGCCUAGUCUUUUUAAGAUGAAUUCUAAUGAAUAAAUUGCUCUUGCAAAGCACAAAGCUUGCGAAGUACAAAACAAUGUCCACUUUGUAAUAGUUUGUAUACUAGCGCACGGCUAUUUGCUGUUCGCGCUGUGUCAAAGGUAAUACGAUAUAAUUAUACUUUUCAUGAAACUUCCUGUUGGACGUGCGGUGGACGGACGGGACGGUCAGCUUACAUUAGCCAUUCCAAAGUUGAUGGGAGGACUGGGGACGAGUGUUAAAAAGUGCCCAAAUUAAGAAAUGAACCAAGUAACUAACUAAAAAGACCACCUUAAAAUUAGUAAGUGUACAAAGUUUGAAGAAGUUUACAUGAAUGCCCUUCGAAUAAUAAGCUUUCGAAAAUUUUGAAAUUGCUGAUUAAAAGAUUAUUUUUGGAACGCGCGUCCCAAAAACGAAAUUACAAUACAUUUCAUAGUAAAUAUCGCGAUUUUUGAAAGCUUGUUACUCGAAGGCUAUUCAUGUAAACGUCUUCAAACUUUGUAUACUUACUAAUUUUGAGGUGGUCUUUUUAGUGAUUUGGUUCAUUUCUUAAUUGGGGCACUUUUUAACACUCGUCCCCAGUCCACUCAUCAACUUCGAAAUGGCUGGUUGUCUAGAAACCCAAUUUUCGAGUCAGUAAAACGCGGAGACGGUAUUGAAAACUCUGUUUUAUCUUUUAACUUAAAACGGACGGUUUUCGAUCUCGUCAGCCAGUCAGCCAGACUGUGUCAACCAGUUAGUUUCAGAUCAGUGAUCCGGAAUAACUAAUAUUCAUUUCUUAAUUUGGGCACUUUUUAACACUCGUCCCCAGUCCUCCCAUCAACUUUGGAAUGGCUAAUGUAAGCUGACCGUCCCGUCCGUCCACCGCACGUCCAACAGGAAGUUUCAUGAAAAGUAUAAUUAUAUCGUAUUACCUUUGACACAGCGCGAACAGCAAAUAGCCGUGCGCUAGUAUACAAACUAUUACAAAGUGGACAUUGUUUUGUACUUCGCAAGCUUUGUGCUUUGCAAGAGCAAUUUAUUCAUUAGAAUUCAUCUUAAAAAGACUAGGCAUUUGGGGUUUAUAUGCACGUCGCUGAUGUACCUUUUUAAGCGGAAGUACAGAUAAAAACUAAUAUAACUUAGCGUUUGUAAACAACCUGUAAACUACUGGUUUCGUAUAUACUUGGACAUUUGACAUCGACAAAGCCUGUCUAUACCGGAAUCGUGUCACUGUAAUGAGUAUUUCUCUCAACUUUAGUAUUGUUUACAAUUAUAAUCAGAUUGAGAAAGAAUGCGCCUCGAUUACAUCCGACGAAACAGUUGGACUUUUGUUAAAAUACGACAUUGGCAAGUACGUUAGUAAACCUUAUGUAUUAAUAUUUCUUCGUACGAGUUGUUUUAUCGCGUUCAAAUACUCACUCGAUUACGCGAUAUUUGCGCAAAUGAAAUUGGACCCGAGUUUAAGCAGAUGUCUAACGUAUUUAAUUAGAAUUUUCAUUGUUACAAAGGUUCGAAAAACCCCGCAUUUCCACAAUUUAAUAUUUUAUUUUUUCGACAAUUUAUUACGAUUAAUAAUAGUCUUAAUUACAUUUCCUAAAUGAUCCCCCCCCCCCGUCCAUCCGCUUGUCCCCCCCGUCCGUCCGCCAUCCGUCCGUCCGCCAUCCGUCCGUCCGUCCGUAUCCGCGUUUUAUCCUUACCCAUAACCCGGGGGGGAUAAAACCCUAGUAGGGAACCACCUCCAGACCAAUUUACACUCACCUGCGACAAAAUAGGGAGGUUGUGUGCUUGAUUUGCAGAGUGCAACUCAAGUUGUAAGCAUCUUGCAUGGGACCAUCUGAUGCACAAGACUCUUGAUGAGUAAAAUGAUCUGAUAUCAGACAUUUGAGUUCCUUUGCAGCUUAAGGAGUUAAUCCUAUUUAUCUUAGAGAACAGCAAUUCAACUAUCUGGCUAGCUUGACAAAUAACUAUACACCAACAAUGUGUGCAAAGGCAAUUAAGUGUAUCCUUGGAAAAUUUUAUCUGAGAUUAUGCAGAGUUGUUUACAACUUUUUUGUUCAAGCCUAGUGACUUAUUUCAGUGCAUGAAAAUCAUCCCACCUUUCAUCCUGUCCUGACAAACUGGGAUCAUGUAAACAGCACAUUUAGCCAUUAAGUUGAUUUGCACUCUAAUUUUCCUACUUAUAUUAUUUAACUCUGUCUAGGGGGUGCACUGGCAGUUAAUUAAUGGGUAACUAGACACAUGGGCAGUCUCAUUAUGAAGCAUAAAAUCGUCUAGCGUUGGACAGUAAAAUACUCAAGUAGAGCAUGCAUCAGGGCACAGUACAACCUAAUGGUUAAAUUUGUUUUUUGUAGCAAAAUGGUUUAAGUUUUAUAUCUGAAUUUUUAAAAUUUUUUUUUGCUUUGUUUUACAGAUCAUUACUUGAACGUGCUGAUGAAAUAUUGAUUUAUAAAAUAUCAUGUUACCAAGAUGACAUGCCUCGAAGAGCAAUACAUGAGGGAAUACCUCUAUUUCUAAUCAAAUUACAACAAAACACCAAAGAUAGUAGUUCUCGGAUGAAAUGAAAGGAUUGAUAAAUGUUCAUGGCCAGCAGUGGAUAUUUGUGACUAUAAUAAAUGGAUACAAAGAAACUAUGAUGGAUAAAUAUGGCCCCGUAAUGGAUAUUCAGUUGAUGGACAUACAAAGGUCACAGAAAUGUCUAUUUUCAGGUACUGUUCUUUCUUGUUUGCCUGCGAACAGGCUGUAGAUACUUGUAUCCAGGCCAUUGUUUGUUUUUUUUGUUCUGGGUACAAUGAAAUCCGGCAUAAAUCCUGGUGGUCUAAAUGUUCAGUAUAUUUACAAAUUCGAUCUAUUUUCUGUUCAGUAGACUUUGAUAGCUUGAAAGAAAGUUUAUAACGAUGAUUUUCUGUGCAAAAACUGUACUUUCGAAAUUCGUCAGCUUCUGAAUUUGAUAACCGAUCUGAAAAAAAAAGGAACAUUUGAGUGUAUGGUUAUUGCAUGGUUCUAUAUAUAUUCUAUAUAUACUG
rnacentral:lncRNA from 1 species